UACGUAGGGGUCGAGCGUUGUCCGGAGUUACUGGGCGUAAAGCGCACGUAGGCGGCGAUUCAAGUCAGAGGUGAAAGCCCGGGGCUCAACUCCGGAACUGCCUUUGAAACUAGAUUGCUAGAAUCUUGGAGAGGCGAGUGGAAUUCCGAGUGUAGAGGUGAAAUUCGUAGAUAUUCGGAAGAACACCAGUGGCGAAGGCGACUCGCUGGACAAGUAUUGACGCUGAGGUGCGAAAGCGUGGGGAGCAAACAGG
rnacentral:rRNA from 1 species